AUUGAACGCUGGCGGCAUGCCUUACACAUGCAAGUCGAACGGCAGCACGGGGCAACCUGGUGGCGAGUGGCGAACGGGUGAGUAAUGCAUCGGAACGUACCUUUCAGUGGGGGAUAACGUAGCGAAAGUUACGCUAAUACCGCAUAUUCUGUGAGCAGGAAAGCAGGGGACCGCAAGACCUCGCGCUGAUUGAGCGGCCGAUGUCAGAUUAGCUAGUUGGUGAGGUAAAGGCUCACCAAGGCGACGAUCUGUAGCGGGUCUGAGAGGAUGAUCAGCCACACUGGAACUGAGACACGGUCCAGACUCCUACGGGAGGCAGCAGUGGGGAAUUUUGGACAAUGGGGGCAACCCUGAUCCAGCCAUGCCGCGUGAGUGAAGAAGGCCUUCGGGUUGUAAAGCUCUUUCGGCCGGGAAGAAAUCGCACGGGCUAAUACCCUGUGUGGAUGACGGUACCGGAAUAAGAAGCACCGGCUAACUACGUGCCAGCAGCCGCAGUAACAC
rnacentral:rRNA from 1 species